CACGUAGGGGGCAAGCGUUGUCCGGAUUUAUUGGGCGUAAAGAGCUCGUAGGCGGCUCAGUAAGUCAGGUGUGAAACCUCCAGGCUCAACCUGGAGACGCCACCUGAUACUGCUGUGGCUAGAGUCCGGUAGGGGAGCGUGGAAUUCCUGGUGGUAGCGGUGAAAUGCGCAGAUAUCAGGAGGAACACCUGUGGCGAAAGCGGCUCACUGGACCAUAACUGACGCUGAUGCACGAAAGCUAGGGGAGCAAACAGG
rnacentral:rRNA from 1 species